CCUACGGGUGGCAGCAGUAGGGAAUCUUCCACAAUGGGCGAAAGCCUGAUGGAGCAACGCCGCGUGGGUGAAGAAGGUCUUAGGAUCGUAAAACCCUGUUGUUAGAGAAGAAAGUGCGUGAGAGUAACUGUUCACGUUUCGACGGUAUCAAACCAGAAAGCCACGGCUAACUACGGCCCAGCAGCCGCGGUAAUACGUAGGGGGCAAGCGUUAUCCGGUUUUAUUGGGCGUAAGGGGAACGCAGGUGGUCUUUUAAGUCUGAGGUGAAAGCUUUCGGCUUAACCGGAGGAUUGCAUUGGAAACUGGUAGAAUUGAGUGCAGAUGAGGAGAGUGGAAUUCCAUGUGUAGCGGUGAAAUGCGUAGAUAUAUGGAAGAACACCAGUGGCGAAAGCGGCUCUCUGGUCUGUAACUGACGCUGAGGUUCGAAAGUGUGGGUAGCAAACAGGAUUAGAUACCCCAGUAGUC
rnacentral:rRNA from 1 species